rnacentral:lncRNA from 1 species
AAGCAAAGGGACGGGCCGAUCACCGUUUAAGUUAGGCCUGGUUUAGUUCCCACCAAAAUCCAAAAAGUUUUCAAGAUUUUCCGUCACAUCGAAUCUUAUGGCACAUGUAUGAAACACUAAAUCUCUACUAUAAUUGAAAUCUUCUCCAGGUAAAUCCCACCUACAAGAUCAACGACUCACAACACAUGUCAUACAGAUUAGACGGCCCAGAUUAGAAGUAUGAUCACGACCUUACAUCUCUACUCUCCGCCC